UACGUAGGGGGGCUAGCGUUGUCCGGAUUUAUUGGGCGUAAAGAGCGUGUAGGCGGCCAGGUAGGUCUGGUGUGAAAACUCGAGGCUUAACCUCGAGAUGUCAUCGGAGACCAUUUGGCUAGAGUCCGGAAGAGGAGAGUGGAAUUCCUGGUGUAGCGGUGAAAUGCGCAGAUAUCAGGAAGAACACCAAUGGCGAAAGCAGCUCUCUGGGACGGUACUGACGCUGAGACGCGAAAGCGUGGGGAGCGAACAGG
rnacentral:rRNA from 1 species